rnacentral:rRNA from 1 species
AGCUUUAUGUUAUUAUUAUUAGCAUCUAUUUUGUAAACGCAGAAAUGUUUAUUAAAGCUUUCCUGAGGAUUUUUCCUUUUUGCAUAACGGAUAAACUAUAAUAGUCCAUUUUUGGAUUUCCCGAAAGUAGAAGAUCUAAAUUUUUUUGGGCUUUUAGGCUUUAUUUAUUAUGUGGCAUUAUAAUAGUUACAAUAAAAUUUAGGGGCGAAAAACCUACAAUUCUACUGAUAUCUGGAUUAGGGCUAAAAGUAUUUAGUACUUUUGACAUCUGCGUAAUUUUUAGGUUUCGCAGGAUAAAUAUAUAAAUUAAUUAUUCAUUAUUACUAGGGUUAAUAGCCCUUGUAUCACGGCAGUAAAAAGAUUAAUAUUUUAUUUGAUUUUUAAUUCGGGCCUAAAAGUACUAUAAUCUUCUUGAACUUAUAUAAUGUUUAUAUUAGUAAUAAUUUUCUUUAACAUUAAAAUGUAGGGUAAGGAACUCGGCAAAUUUAUACCUUAACUGUUUACCAAAAACAUAGCCUUAAGAUUUAUUUAAGGUGAAGCCUGCCCAGUGCAUAUUGUUAACGGCCGCAGUACCCUGACUGUGCUAAGGUAGCAUAAUAAUUUGGCUUUUAAAUGGAGUCGGGAAUGAAUGGAUUAAUAGGGUAUAGCUGUCUCUCCUACAUUUAGUUGAAUUUUCUUAUUAGGUGAAAAUGCCUAAUAAAUGAAAAAAGACGAGAAGACCCUGGGAGUUUUUACUAAAAUCUUUUAAAGGUUCCGUUUUUGUUGGGGCGACAAGAGAGUAGAUGAAACCUCUUUUAUUAGAUAGGCCGACUGUGUAUGGUAAACUAAACUACCCCAGGGAUAACAGCGUAAUUCUUUCUGAGUUUGCGACCUCGAUGUUGGACUAGGAAUUUGAUGGGCUAGCCGCCUAUUUUUAUUGUUCUGUUCGAACUAUUUUUCCU